AUACGACCAUAGGGUGUGGAAAACAGGGCUUCCCGUCCGCUCAGCCGUACUUAAGCCACACGCCGGGAGGUUAGUAGUUGGGUGGGUGACCACCAGCGAAUCCCUUCUGUUGUAU
rnacentral:rRNA from 1 species